rnacentral:sRNA from 1 species
GCGGAGACGCAUGUUUCCGUUCACUCCUCACACCACACUCCGCCUGAGCAUUUGUUCGGGCGGCU